UUUCCGUAGGUGAACCUGCGGAAGGAUCAUUACUGAGUGAGGGCCCCUCGGGGUCCAACCUCCCACCCGUGUUUAACGAACCUUGUGGCUUCGGCGGGCCCGCCUCACGGCCGCCGGGGGGCAUCUGCCCCCGGGCCCGCGCCCGCCGAAGCCACCUGUGAACGCUGUCUGAAGUAUGCAGUCUGAGACAAUUAUUAAAUUAAUUAAAACUUUCAACAACGGAUCUCUUGGUUCCG
rnacentral:misc_RNA from 1 species